ensembl:lincRNA
CCGGGAGGCUGAUGACUGUUCCAGGCACUGUUCGGGACCUAACUGAACAAUGAAGCGGAGAGACAGAAAUGCCUUGGUGGAGUCAGGCAGGGUCAAAGGCCCUACCAUGCGUGAGGUCUGAGCCGAGUUCUGGGGGCUUCACGGAGAGUGGUGCCUGAUGGCCUCUGCUUCCAAAUGGCUCCAAACCUGGUGAGGGGAGGAGACAGGAGACCCUGCGGUGAUAACUCAGCUAUCCAACGUGGGACGUCUGUGGGCGGGGCACUGCCUGGGGCUGCCUUCAGAGGGGGAUGAGUGGGUGGAAGCUGUCUCCAGCCGGGGGAGCGCGUCUGAGACAGAAUGGGGACCCGAGUGCUGCGUGACGUGGCACUGACGUGGGCGCAGGUGUGGGGCACUGAGAGGGCUGCGGGCUGUGUCAGGAGAGCUGUCUCAGCCGGGCUGCGGCCGAGGAGGUGGCGCCACUGCUUCUCCUCAUCCGCUAUGGCCACCAGCCUCUCUGAUGGCUCCUUCUCAGUUCUCUCUGGGCCUGUGUUUUCCCCAGGAAUCCAGGAGCCACCACUGCACGGCAGCGAAGGCCUGGACACCACGGACGCGCGGUCUCUGCUGUCACGGUGCAAAGCAGCGUAAGAGGACGGGCCCGAAUGUGCUUUCAUCCACUUUACUUGUGGACACUGAGAUUUGAAAGUCAUAUCAUUUUCACGUGGCAUAAAACAUCUUCAAACCUUAACCAUUUUAAAAUGUGAAGAUGUGAAAACACAGUUAGAGCUCAAGAGCUGGGUAAAGGGCAGUGGGCUGUGGGCUGCCCGGUGGGCAGAGUUCGCCAACCCAGCCUGCUCCGCGAGGACACUGCCGGCCACCCCGCCGCUAGCCAGGCUGUUAGGGGCCUUUCCUUGUGGCCCUGCACACUGAACUGUGUGCCCCUUAGCAGGCUACCGGGUCUUUGUAGAAGGCCUGAAACCCUCAGGCACACGGUAGGGGCUCAGGCAACUGUGUACCUGACAAGCCCGUGUGUGACCAACGAGCCCUUUCAGCAGUUGGCUGCAGCAGAUAGUGUGAGAAGCUUCAUUUUAUUGAUGUGGAAGUGAGGCCCAGGGAGGGAAAGAUAUUUUCUCAAAGCCACACAGCUGCAGAAAUGGGCUCAACUUCAGACUUUCUGAGGAGAGAAGGAAAGAUGCAGGUGGUGCGGAUGGAGUGAUGACUGUGUGGCGAGCCAGUGCUGGGGCUGUGCGUGCAGGGCCCACUCCCACGCACUGAGCACCGAGUGUGUGCACGGACCUGCUGGCGCUGCCAGACUUGUCUCAGAAUGCUGGGUCCUCGAGGCCUGAGCACCAGACCAUGGCCUCCAGCAGGCACGGGCAGCUGGCUCUCCUCCGUACCGCUCCCUGCUGAGCCCAGAGCAGACAGCACUUGACAUACAGCGGGACAUUCAGAGAACCGUGGCUGCACCUGGGCCAGGUGCUGUGUCGCAACUUUCCAUAUCGAAGGCCUCCGUCCCUCAUCACCAUAUUCCGGAUGUGCAACCUACAAAUCAGCUGAAAAACACCGGUGGAACAAACAAAAAAACAGAAAAAGAAAUGAAAAGCGCGGUGUCAUCUACUCUAGCUCACCAUGGCAGCAGCCACAGGACCUGCUGAUCAAAGAGGUUGUUCAUCUCUAGAGCUGAUGGGUCCUGAUCCAGCUCAUUUACAAAAGAGUCCACACAGGGCCUGAGUUGGGCAUGGUGACACACGCCUGUCAUCCUCGCACUCUGGGAAGCUGAGGAUUCCAAGUUUGAAGCCAGCCUGGGCCAGCAAGCUCCUAUCCUACAACUCAACCCAACCCAACACACACACACACACACACACACACACACACACACACACACACAAANNNNNNNNNNCCACCCCAACACACACACACACACACACACACACACACACACACACACACACACACACACAGAGUCAAAUCAAAGGGCUGUGAUUGUAGCUUAUUGCAAAAGCCCUGACUUCAGUCCCCAAUACCACAAAAUAAAUAAAAUAGAAAGGGCCUAGGAAGCAGGCAGUUGGAAGGACAGCCAAAGCAAAGACGGCUCCAUCUGUAUCAAAGUCACUUCCCCCAGUGAAUCUGUACCCACUUGCAGAGGCCGGAGGGACCCAGGAAGGCACCAGGCUCCACCGAGAGGACUUGUGGCCACCUAACUUGAGCAGCACAGGUCAGGGAAGGCCAGCUCUCCAAACAGCGCUUGCUCCAAGUAGCUCCCAACGGCGGGUUUGACUCCAGCCCAAAUCUCUGCCCCAGCGACCAUUUGUCCAUUCAGUGACGUGGGCCAAGUGGCCAGGCCCUUGGAAGUACAAGGGGCCAUCUCACUCCCCAGUGGCUGGCAGCGUCCCUCGGUCCCCCCACCAGGCCC